GAUGAACGCUGGCGGCGUGCUUAACACAUGCCAGUCGAACGAUGAAGCCCAGCUUGCUGGGUGGAUUAGUGGCGAACGGGUGAGUAACACGUGAGUAACCUGCCCUUAACUCUGGGAUAAGCCUGGGAAACUGGGUCUAAUACCGGAUAGGAGCGCCUACCGCAUGGUGGGUGUUGGAAAGAUUUAUCGGUUUUGGAUGGACUCGCGGCCUAUCAGCUUGUUGGGGAGGUAAUGGCUCACCAAGGCGACGACGGGUAGCCGGCCUGAGAGGGUGACCGGCCACACUGGGACUGAGACACGGCCCAGACUCCUACGGGAGGCAGCAGUGGGGAAUAUUGCACAAUGGGCGAAAGCCUGAUGCAGCGACGCCGCGUGAGGGAUGACGGCCUUCGGGUUGUAAACCUCUUUCAGUAGGGAAGAAGCGAAAGUGACGGUACCUGCAGAAGAAGCACCGGCUAACUACGUG
rnacentral:rRNA from 1 species